CUAAAUGCUUUUCUAAAAGCAACAAAACAAAAAAAACAAGAAAGCU
rfam:Anopheles arabiensis strain DONG5_A unplaced genomic scaffold supercont1.27, whole genome shotgun sequence.